rnacentral:rRNA from 1 species
CGAGUGGCGGACGGGUGAGUAACACGUGGGUAACCUGCCCUUAAGUGGGGGAUAACAUUUGGAAACAGAUGCUAAUACCGCAUAAAUCCAAGAACCGCAUGGUUCUUGGCUGAAAGAUGGCGUAAGCUAUCGCUUUUGGAUGGACCCGCGGCGUAUUAGCUAGUUGGUGAGGUAACGGCUCACCAAGGCAAUGAUACGUAGCCGAACUGAGAGGUUGAUCGGCCACAUUGGGACUGAGACACGGCCCAAACUCCUACGGGAGGCAGCAGUAGGGAAUCUUCCACAAUGGACGCAAGUCUGAUGGAGCAACGCCGCGUGAGUGAAGAAGGCUUUCGGGUCGUAAAACUCUGUUGUUGGAGAAGAAUGGUCGGCAGAGUAACUGUUGUCGGCGUGACGGUAUCCAACCAGAAAGCCACGGCUAACUACGUGCCAGCAGCCGCGGUAAUACGUAGGUGGCAAGCGUUAUCCGGAUUUAUUGGGCGUAAAGCGAGCGCAGGCGGUUUUUUAAGUCUGAUGUGAAAGCCCUCGGCUUAACCGAGGAAGUGCAUCGGAAACUGGGAAACUUGAGUGCAGAAGAGGACAGUGGAACUCCAUGUGUAGCGGUGAAAUGCGUAGAUAUAUGGAAGAACACCAGUGGCGAAGGCGGCUGUCUGGUCUGUAACUGACGCUGAGGCUCGAAAGCAUGGGUAGCGAACAGGAUUAGAUACCCUGGUAGUCCAUGCCGUAAACGAUGAAUGCUAGGUGUUGGAGGGUUUCCGCCCUUCAGUGCCGCAGCUAACGCAUUAAGCAUUCCGCCUGGGGAGUACGACCGCAAGGUUGAAACUCAAAGGAAUUGACGGGGGCCCGCACAAGCGGUGGAGCAUGUGGUUUAAUUCGAAGCAACGCGAAGAACCUUACCAGGUCUUGACAUCUUUUGAUCACCUGAGAGAUCAGGUUUCCCCUUCGGGGGCAAAAUGACAGGUGGUGCAUGGUUGUCGUCAGCUCGUGUCGUGAGAUGUUGGGUUAAGUCCCGCAACGAGCGCAACCCUUAUGACUAGUUGCCAGCAUUUAGUUGGGCACUCUAGUAAGACUGCCGGUGACAAACCGGAGGAAGGUGGGGAUGACGUCAAAUCAUCAUGCCCCUUAUGACCUGGGCUACACACGUGCUACAAUGGAUGGUACAACGAGUUGCGAGACCGCGAGGUCAAGCUAAUCUCUUAAAGCCAUUCUCAGUUCGGACUGUAGGCUGCAACUCGCCUACACGAAGUCGGAAUCGCUAGUAAUCGCGGAUCAGCACGCCGCGGUGAAUACGUUCCCGGGCCUUGUACACACCGCCCGUCACACCAUGAGAGUUUGUAACACCCGAAGCCGGUGGCGUAACCCU